rnacentral:rRNA from 1 species
UACGUAGGUGGCAAGCGUUGUCCGGAUUUAUUGGGCGUAAAGCGAGCGCAGGCGGUUCCUUAAGUCUGAUGUGAAAGCCCACGGCUCAACCGUGGAAGGUCAUUGGAAACUGGGGAACUUGAGUGCAGAAGAGGAGAGUGGAAUUCCAUGUGUAGCGGUGAAAUGCGUAGAUAUAUGGAGGAACACCAGUGGCGAAGGCGACUCUCUGGACUGUAACUGACGCUGAGGCACGAAAGCGUGGGGAGCAAACAGGAUUAGA